rnacentral:rRNA from 1 species
GGGACACGUGGUAUCCUGUCUGAAUAUGGGGGGACCAUCCUCCAAGGCUAAAUACUCCUGACUGACCGAUAGUGAACCAGUACCGUGAGGGAAAGGCGAAAAGAACCCCGGCGAGGGGAGUGAAAAAGAACCUGAAACCGUGUACGUACAAGCAGUGGGAGCACCUUCGGGUGUGACUGCGUACCUUUUGUAUAAUGGGUCAGCGACUUAUAUUCUGUAGCAAGGUUAACCGUAUAGGGGAGCCGCAGGGAAACCGAGUCUUAACUGGGCGUUAAGUUGCAGGGUAUAGACCCGAAACCCGGUGAUCUAGCCAUGGGCAGGUUGAAGGUUGGGUAACACUAACUGGAGGACCGAACCGACUAAUGUUGAAAAAUUAGCGGAUGACUUGUGGCUGGGGGUGAAAGGCCAAUCAAACCGGGAGAUAGCUGGUUCUCCCCGAAAGCUAUUUAGGUAGCGCCUCGUGAAUUCAUCUUCGGGGGUAGAGCACUGUUUCGGCUAGGGGGUCAUCCCGACUUACCAACCCGAUGCAAACUACGAAUACCGAAGAAUGUUAUCACGGGAGACACACGGCGGGUGCUAACGUCCGUCGUGAAGAGGGAAACAACCCAGACCGCCAGCUAAGGUCCCAAAGUCACAGUUAAGUGGGAAACGAUGUGGGAAGGCACAGACAGCCAGGAUGUUGGCUUAGAAGCAGCCAUCAUUUAAAGAAAGCGUAAUAGCUCACUGGUCGAGUCGGCCUGCGCGGAAGAUGUAACGGGGCUAAACUGUGCACCGAAGCUGCGGCAGCGACACUAUGUGUUGUUGGGUAGGGGAGCGUUCUGUAAGCCUGCGAAGGUGGCCUGUGAGGGUUGCUGGAGGUAUCAGAAGUGCGAAUGCUGACAUAAGUAACGAUAAUGCGGGUGAAAAGCCCGCACGCCGGAAGACCAAGGGUUCCUGUCCAACGUUAAUCGGGGCAGGGUGAGUCGACCCCUAAGGCGAGGCCGAAAGGCGUAGUCGAUGGGAAACAGGUUAAUAUUCCUGUACUUGGUGUUACUGCGAAGGGGGGACGGAGAAGGCUAUGUUAGCCGGGCGACGGUUGUCCCGGUUUAAGCAUGUAGGCGGAGGUUCCAGGUAAAUCCGGUACCUUUUUAACGCUGAGGUGUGAUGACGAGGCACUACGGUGCUGAAGUAACAAAUGCCCUGCUUCCAGGAAAAGCCUCUAAGCAUCAGGUAACAUU